rnacentral:rRNA from 1 species
GACGAACGCUGGCGGCGUGCCUAAUACAUGCAAGUAGAACGCUGAAGGAGGAGCUUGCUCUUCUGGAUGAGUUGCGAACGGGUGAGUAACGCGUAGGUAACCUGCCUGGUAGCGGGGGAUAACUAUUGGAAACGAUAGCUAAUACCGCAUAACAGUAGAUGUUGCAUGACAUUUGCUUAAAAGGUGCAAUUGCACCACUACCAGAUGGACCUGCGUUGUAUUAGCUAGUUGGUGGGGUAACGGCUCACCAAGGCGACGAUACAUAGCCGACCUGAGAGGGUGAUCGGCCAAACUGGGACUUAGACACGGCCCAGACUCCUUAGGGGAGCAGCAGUAGGGGAUCAUCGGAAAUGGACGGAAGUCUGGACGAAGCAAGCCGGGGGGGUGGAGGAAGUUUUCGGGUCGGAAAGCUCUGUUGUAAGGGAAGAACGAGUGUGAGAGUAAAAAGUUCACGCUGUGACGGUAUCUUACCAGAAAGGGACGGCUAACUACGUG